ensembl:lncRNA
GAACGGGACCACCUGUAUCAGCAAGCCGAAGACCUUCUGGGAGAGAAGAUGGCUCUUGAAAGACAGCUGAGGCAAACUUUUGGGGAGACCCCCGAGGUCCUCCGGGCGGAAGAGAUAGAGAGUGUCUGGACCCCCAGAGGUGAGCCCCCCUCCACCCCAGGGUGGAAAAACGCUGCUUCUCCUCCAUCACCAGCUCCUUGGUCUCCGUGGCAACCCCAGAUGUGAAGGGUUUGGUCCUUCCUUUCUAGAACCUUCUGAGGCGCCCCUCUUGCUGGGCUACGAAAUAAAAGAGGCCGGCCAAUGGUCGGCCCUGGAGCGCGAGAACCAGGAGCUACGGCGGAAGCUGCAGGAGGCGCUCGAGACGAAGGAGGUGACCCUAAGGCCGGAAAACGCCGUCCUUGACCGUGAGCUAAAACCACCGCAGAGCCAGGCAGAACCGGAGCCGAAAGUCCGAGCUGAAAACCUUGCUAUAGUUAAAGGCCAAGAGCAAGGAGGUCAUGAAGGUUUGGUCCCAGAUAAGAGGAAAACACAGAGUCAGAAGCAAGAAGCGGAGGGGUUGUUGGGCGAAAGGGAGUCCGCCCUGCCAGAGGUUCGGAUCCCACCGAGCCAGGUCGCGCGGCGUCGGGAAGCAGAGUCCCACCAAAGGUUGGGUCUGGAAGACAGCCUGAGAAGUUUGCAGGAAGCUCAUGCUGCUACUCUGGAGAAACAAGAGCGAGAGCGUGAACAGUGGCGCUUGGAGAGGGAGCGCCUGACGGAGGAGAUCCAGGCUUUGGAACGAGAGCAGGAAAUCCUCCAAGCCGGCUCCGGGGCCCUGCAAGCAGCCGCUACGCAGGCCGAGCUGGCACUGGAGGAGGCCCGGCGGAGUCUUCAGGAGGAGCGGCUGCAAGGGGUCCGGCUGGCCCAAAAAGCCCGGCAGGCGGACGAAGCCCUGCACAACGCCCGGAAGGAGCUGGACGCUUUGCAGAGGAGCCGAGAGCAGCACAAGAUCGCACUGGCGCAGCUCGAAGCCGAGAAGGGGGCUCUCGAGGAGAUGCUGAGCGAAGCCGAGAACCGGCGCCGGCGGCUGGAGAAGGAUGGCCAGCGGCUGAAGGCCCAGGUUCAAGUCCAGGAGGAAGCGCUGGCCGCUCAGGGCGCCCGCCUCGCCCGCCUGGAGGCCCAAACGCGGCAGCAGGCCAGGGAGCUGGACAGCCUGCGGGAGGCCGCCCGGCAGCUCCAGGAUUCGGAGCGAGAGGCGGCUGGCCUGCGGGAACGGCUGGACGCCGAGUGCGAAACUUCAGCCAGGCUGAAGGAGGAGCUUCAGCAGGAGAAAGCGAAGGGAAAGGGGGCAGAAUCCACCUUCGCUCAGCUGAGGGAGCAGAUGUUGACAAAGGAAGCCGUUCUUCAGGAAGAAGCAGGAAGUGAGAAGUACAGGGAGGAGAAACACGCGGGACCCUCGGAUGGGAAGAAGAUGGGUGUGGAGGAAGAGAACAGCGUCCUCAAAAGGCAGCUGGAAGAACUGCAGGCUCGUGUGGCCCGGCUUACAAAUAACCAACAGGUAGAGAAUCUGUAA